UCGAGACAUUUAUGAGAUGCUGACUUAAUCCCCAAGCAACAAUUGCAUUUCAUGCAAUGAAAAUAAUCGAUCCCAAGCCCUUGUCCAACACGGCAUAAAUUGCAAAAUGGGCAAUGAUAUACGUUCCUGAAAAUAGUAAAAGGUGUAAGGAAAAAUAAAAUUAACUAAAUAAGUUGAAAGACUAAAUUAUAAUUGUUAAAGAUACGAUGGUGUAUAAAUACGAAAAUAUUGUAUAGCUUCACUUUAGGAUAACGUUAUUUUUCUUUCGUUUCCUUAUUUGGAAUUGGAUCAUUACUUUUGCUAUUCCUUAUAUAUAAAGAAUCAUGAGUUUGAUCAUAACACAGAAUCCCUGGAAACCUUUUAUAUGGUUUUAGAAGAUCAGUGUUUGAUUCCCUCGACAAAUUUUUCAUCUUUUUCCUGGAAUCAUGCGUAAACAGUUCUGCUCCUCUCUCUGCCAAUGUUUGGCAGCCUUCCCAAUGUUCUUUCACCAACGUCAAACCCUGACCACUGUAGCCCAACUCCAGUAAACCCACAAUAGACCUUGCUCCCCCUCUAUGAGACAUAUUUAUUGAUAAUAACAGUUUUAAUACCAUAAGCUUAGGAUUCCAACGAACAAAAAGAUACCUUUCAUCAUCAAAAAAUUUGCAUAUAUUGCAAUAGUACUUCGCCAUUGAAAAUCCAUUACAUGAAGGUGUCAUGCACAUAGGCCCUAUAGGCUGUAUAUUCAGGCAG
rnacentral:lncRNA from 1 species